UACGGAGGGGGCUAGCGUUGUUCGGAAUGACUGGGCGUAAAGCGCGCGUAGGCGGAUCAGGAAGUUGGGGGUGAAAUCCCGGGGCUCAACCCCGGAAUGGCCUUCAAAACUCCUGGUCUUGAGUUCGAGAGAGGUGAGUGGAAUUCCGAGUGUAGAGGUGAAAUUCGUAGAUAUUCGGAGGAACACCAGUGGCGAAGGCGGCUCACUGGCUCGACACUGACGCUGAGGUGCGAAAGCGUGGGGAGCAAACAGG
rnacentral:rRNA from 1 species